rnacentral:misc_RNA from 1 species
AUGUCUUUUAGACUAGAGUGUAGCUUGAAACGGAGACGAUUGCAGGUGAAGCAGUGUGAAUGUACACAAACUCUAGGCUUUUACCAGCUGGUAAAGAGUUGAGCCAAGCUGGGAAGAUGAACGAGUUACCGUACUUUGUUAGACCCCAGAGAGGACCAUAGAGCUUGACUAUGGAGAGUUUCAAGUUCUUAACCGUCUUUCCGGACUUGUUGGUUA